UCCGGGAAUUUUGCGCAAUGGACGAAAGUCUGACGCAGCAACGCCGCGUGAGGGAUGAAGGCCUUCGGGUUGUAAACCUCUUUUAUCAGGGACGAUAAUGACGGUACCUGACGAAUAAGUCACGGCUAACUACGUGCCAGCAGCCGCGGUAAUACGUAGGUGACAAGCGUUGUCCGGAUUUACUGGGCGUAAAGAGCGCGCAGGCGGUCGAUCAAGUCGAGUGUGAAAGCCCCCGGCUCAACUGGGGAGGGUCAUUCGAUACUGGUCGACUCGAAGGCAGGAGAGGGUAGUGGAAUUCCCGGUGUAGUGGUGAAAUGCGUAGAUAUCGGGAGGAACACCAGUGGCGAAGGCGACUACCUGGCCUGUUCUUGACGCUGAGGCGCGAAAGCUAGGGGAGCAAACGGGAUUAGAUACCCCGGUAGUCCUAGCCGUAAACGAUGGACACUAGGUGUUGGUGGUAUCAACCCCGCCAGUGCCGAAGCUAACGCAUUAAGUGUCCCGCCUGGGGAGUACGGCCGCAAGGCUA
rnacentral:rRNA from 1 species